CCUACGGGAGGCAGCAGUGGGGGAUAUUGCACAAUGGGGGAAACCCUGAUGCAGCGACGCCGCGUGGGCGAAGAAGUAUUUCGGUAUGUAAAGCCCUAUCAGCAGGGAAGAAGAAAUGACGGUACCUGAGUAAGAAGCACCGGCUAAAUACGUGCCAGCAGCCGCGGUAAUACGUAGGGUGCAAGCGUUAUCCGGAUUUACUGGGUGUAAAGGGAGCGCAGGCGGCACGGCAAGCCUGAUGUGAAAGCCAGCGGCCCAACCGCGGGAUUGCAUUGGGAACUACCGGGCUGGAGUGCAGGAGAGGUAGGCGGAAUUCGUAGUGUAGCGGUGAAAUGCGUAGAUAUUAGGAGGAACCCCAGUGGCGAAGGCGGCUUACUGGACGGUGACUGACGCUGAGGCUCGAAAGCGUGGGGAGCAAACAGGAUUAGAUACCCUGGUAGUC
rnacentral:rRNA from 1 species